rnacentral:sRNA from 1 species
UGAUUGUGUUGUAAACGAUUAAAUAAAUUGCUAGGAACAAGAUAUUCUCAGGAAACUAUUGGUUAGUAGAUCUAAUGAAAGCUAGGUUGUUAUCGAACCAUUUUUAAACUCAAACUCUAAUUAUGGAAUAACAGGUGGCGUUCUGCAAAACUCCCUAUAUCUAUAGCUAAGAAUAACUGGAGAAGCCGAGAAAUUAUCAACCUAAAUAUGUGAUAGUAGGAUUUUUACUCAAUUAAUCCUAAAACACUAUCCUGUCGUUGUAGUAUUUUAGGAUGUCAAUCCAAUCCGGUGUGAUGCAAACAGAUGAGAUAUGAUCAGAAAGCUCUAAGUCAAGCCAAGCAGAGAGUUGGUUGGUUCUAACAGUCCUAGUAUGCAAUAACAGAAAUGAAAUGAAACUAAAAGCAGAAAUGGCAAUAGUAGGCAAGUGAAUGACAAAGCAUAAAUGAUAACA